rnacentral:lncRNA from 1 species
CUUGCUUUUCUCACUUUCUUCAAAAGGCAACAUGAGGCUACUUGUUCAUUGCUUGGCUAAGCAGUCUUAAAAUGGUGGAGCCAGAAGAGAGGUUAGAGAAGGUAUGGUUCAAGUCCUUCUUUUACAGAUGGAGAAACAGGCCAGGCGAGGUGAAGGGGUGCCAAGAGACCCUGCAGUCACUUGAUCUGUGACAGAACCAAGCAUAGUGACUCAGAUAUUCCAACCCAGGUACACUUCGGUUAUUUGCUCAGCCGGGACCUGAUGGACUCAUUGAACCAAGUCUACCGGAAAAUUCCAACAGUGGACAACAGAACCCCUGCCUUUGGGGAGGAGAGGCUAGGUGGGUCCGUGGAGCAAGGACACUUAAAAGCCACAAGAGUCCACCAACCGAUGAAUAAAUAAACAUGCUCUCUGGCCAUACAAUGGGAUAUUAUUCAGUCGUGGAAGGGACUGAAGCACUGAUCCGUGCUGCAGCGUGGAUGAGCCAGGACACCUUUAUGAAAAAGCCACAGGGAUCUUUGCACUGGUGGACAGCGAGGAAGAAAGCAAAUGAGGAGGAAAUGAUGUUGUCAAGAGCCACAUCCUGCUCCCCCUGCUCCUGACCAAGUCCGCUUUCCGGGGGAGGGGGGGAUGCCCUGUGGGUGAGUUCUGCCCAGAAGGAGCCUCUCCCAGCGUCCGGGCUCCUGUGACGGCUCUGCCAUAGGAGGGAAUGGGGACACUCCAUGCUGCUCUGCAACGCCAGCUCCGUGUUUGCGGGAAGGGCAAAGGAUGCAGCCAUCCGCUGUCCUCUGCCCUCCGCUUGCCCGCUCUGCAGAGCACAUAGCCCUGCUAGCGCCCAGGCUUCCUUCGGGAGAAUUCCGGGCGCGGCCCUGCAGAGCCGCGGGGGAGCGACAGCAGCGAACGGGAGUGGAGGGGAGCGACCCACCCCUGCGCCACCUGCCCUCAGCAGGGUGGGCACAAACAAGGAGGGAGAAAGCGGAGCGUGGUCAGCACUUGUGCAAACCAAGCCUUUUCUGGGGGCGGGAGGGGGAUUCUGAUCAAGGUUUGCAGAGAUGAGGCCGCAGCAGCAGAGCAGCAGCAAUGUGGGCUGGUUUUAAGAAGCACUAAAUCUCUGUGUCAGCUGGAAGCCCGCUCCUCUGCCGCGGGCUGGACGGCCCCGCGUGGGCGGCGCGGCUCCUGGCGGCGGCCCCAGCGUGGGCGGUGUUCUCCCAACAGAGUUCAGGGCCCUGCCGGGUCACCCACCCGGACUCUGUCCCUCCUCCCCCGGACGGCUGCGCCCCGUGCCUGGGAGGACACACGCCGCGCACACAGACACCACACAUCCCACACCACACAGUACAACACACACCACACAUACCACAUCACCCACACACAUACCACACACACACCAGACACACACACACUACACACAACACACACACCCCAGACACACAAAGACACACUACACAGACACACAACACACACCCCCCCACACCACACAACACACAUACCACACACACACCAGACACACUACACACAACACACACACCCCAAACACACACAGACACACUACACACACACCCCACACCACACAACACACACACCACGCAUACCACAUCACAUGCACACACUCUACACACACCCCCACACAAUACACAUGCACAACACACACACCCCCACCACACACACACAUACACCACACAUACCACAUCACCCACACACACCACACAUACCACACACACCCCAGACACACACAGACACAAUACACAUGCACAACACACACACCCCACACCACACACACACAUACACCACACAUAGACACACCACACAGACAGAUACCACACACACCACACCACAUCACACAACACAACACACACACCACACAUACCACACUGCAUACAUAUAUACCCCCCCAAACACACCACACACACAGGCACACAUAGACACACCACACAGACACACACAACACUCAGACACUGCACACACACCAUACCACACGACACAAUACAAUACACACCACACGCACCGCACCACACACACCCCACAGCCUCCCUCUCUCUCCCCCACCCCACCGGGUGUCAUCCCGCUUGAAUGAGAGGAGCCUCUAAGGCUUCCCCGGAAAAGAAGGGACUGGAAAACACGGAGGCCACGCUCCCCCAGGGAGACCAGCGCCAUGAGGACAACUUUUUGGAGCUCUCGGUGUCUCCCAAGAACUUCCAGAACGUUCCCUAAUGGAGUCGCCCCUGCGGUGAGGCCGCUGUAAAGCGUCGUGGCUGGUGGUACAGAAGGAGGAAGAGAGGGGACAGCUCGCCGAGGCACAGGGCAAAUCCGAGAUGGACAGCACCCCUGGCUCAGACCCGGGGUGGACCCGCCGACGCCCCCGUGUCUCUGGGGGAAGGAGGUCAAAUGAGGUCAGAAGGCGGGGCCCAGCUCUCCAGGUGCCAAAGGGUUAAGGAAGGAGGGCAAGAGAGUGGCUGGCGGUUGGUGUGGUGAAGUAACCUCUAGAUGACAUCCUGCCCUCACGUGGGCACAGGCUGCUGGCUGCUUGCCUGUCACCAGGAGAGCCCAGUUGAACGGGUAGGCAGCUGGGGGUGGGGGGCCGCCUCUGCCCUCUUCUCCCUGUGCUGGCCAAGGGAGGCCUCCGGGAGGCUCCUGGGCUCGGUUCCUUCCUUUCUAGUCCACAGGACGGAUUCAUCGUUAGGGUAUCAGCACACCUCACUCCCAGGAGAGCGCUCCCGGCGCGCCACACUGUGUCUGAGGGCAUGGUGGCAGGCUGUCGGCGCUCACCGGUGGGCGUUGUUAUCGUGCUAGUGGGGCGGAAGAGAGAAAACUCGUCUCGAGUGAAAGAACCUUGAAGACCUGUAUUUCCACAUGGGGGGUUUCCUAUGAGGCUGAGCCUGGGGAGACUCUCUCCCCCAUCAAACCCCCAUUUAGAAGCAGCCACCCUUCGUCUCUCCAAAGGAAUCAUGUGCAGCGGGACCUGACUUCAGAAGGCCCGGCCUUGGGAGGGAGAGACGUCUUCAGUUCAUUGUCUCGCCAUGGAAAAGAUCAUUACUUCGCGGAGGUGGCUUCCUCUGACCCCAUCCCUCCUCUAGGAAGAAGUUAAAAGAGGAGCUGUCCCCUGAAAGCCGAGGGCCACACACACUGAACUGGCCUCUUUAUGCAUGGCCUGGGCCAGCUGCUCGUCUUGGUGUCAGUGACUACUUCAGCACAUAAUACGAAGCACAGAGAAAUACUCGCCCCCCCUUUUUGAAAGGCAUUAAAGAGAAGAUAUGUCUGAAGCCAAAAAGAGACACAGAAACAGAAGAAACGAGACACAUUCUAUAGAACAACUUCAGAAGACGGGAUCAGGAUGACCUGGGGGUUUGUUCCGAGCCCUUCGUUGGAAAUUUUAUUCAUUUUCACUUUGUUUAAACUGGGCUUUUUAACUAAAGCCAUUGUCUAAACGCCGCUGUGGACAUUUUCGGUACUAGGCAUGAACUCAGGGCAGAUGUGUCAUCUCAAGGACACAGUUUAACCAGGUGAAUUGUAUUUGGGCUGAAGUGACUUGAAAUUCCAGGUUGGAUGACUUAGAUGGACCCUUAAUGGGCACAAUGUGAAUGCACAUCUGUACAACCAGGUUGAUUUGUGUAUUCUUGUUAGAAGGUGUGUGUUGCGUGUUCCUAAUCAGUGGGACCUGAGUAUAGUAUCAAGAGUUCAAAUUCAACUUUACCAUUUACUCGCUGAAUGACCUCAGGCUAAUUAGCCCCUUCUAGACUUGGUGUCCCCAUCUCUAAAGAAAUGGUAGUCCGAAUACUGCCUUCGUAGGCUGUUGUAAGAGUGAAAUGAGAUGUUGCCUGCAGAGGCUGGCUCCGAGUAAGCAUUUCUCUUUGCCCCUGGAGGUUUUUUUCCAUAAUAAAUUUUAUGCACCUUGGAAAAAUCAAAUGAUGACGAAUUCAUUCUGAAGUUUGUAUGGGGAGGCGAAAGACCCAGAAUAGCCAAGGCAAUACAGAAGGAGAAGAGCAAAGUUGGAGGACGGACCCUACCUGACUUCAAGACUCACUAUAAAGAUACAGCAAUCAAGACAGUGUGGUAUUAGCAAAAGAAAAGACAAAUAGACUAAUGGAACAGAACAGAGAGCCCAGAAAUAUAAUCCACUGAUGUUUGACAAAGGAGCAAAGGCAAUACAAUGGAGCAAAGAUGGUCUUCUCAACAAACGGUUCUGGAACAACUGGACAUCCACAUGCAAAACAUGAAGCUAGACACAGACCUUAUACUCUUCACAAAAAUUAACUCGAAAUGGAUCAUGGACUUAAAGCUAAGACACAAAACUAGGAAACUCCUAGAAGAUAACAUAGGAGAAAAUCUGAUGACCUUGGUAUGGUGGUGCCUUUUUAGAUACAACACCAAAGCAUGAUCCCUGAAAGAAAUAAUUGAUUUUUAAAAACCUUCUGUUAUGUGAAGGAUAAUAUUAAGAGAAUGAGAAGACCAGCCAAAACUGGGAGAAAAUAUUUGCAAAAGACACAUCUGAUAAAGGACUGUUAUCCAAAAUACACAAAGACCUCAAAAAACUCAACAAUAAGAAGACAGACAACCCAAUUAAAAAAUUGAGGGGCCAGCCAGGUGGCUCAGUGGUUGGGUUUGCGCACUCCGCUUUGGUGGCCUGGUAUUGGGGGAUUUACAUCCUGGGCAUGGACCUAUACUCCUUUCAUCGAGCCAUGCUAUGGUGGCAUCCCACAUGCAAAAAGUAGAGGGAGAUUAGCACAGAUGUUUGCUCAGCGACAAUCUUCCUCAAGCAAAAAGAGGAGGAUUGGCACUAGAUGUUAGCUCAGGGCCAGUCUUCCUCACCAAAAAAAAAUUGGCCAAACACCUUAAUAGACAAGUCAUCAAAGAAGAUAUAUGGACAGCAAAUAAGCAUAUGAAAACAUGCUCCACAUCCUAUGUCAUCAGGGAAAUGCAAAAGAAGGCAAUGAGAUACCAGUGCACACCUAUUAGAAUGGCCAAAAUCUGGAACACCAAAUGUUGGUGAGGAUGAGGAACAGUGACUCUCAUUCAUUGCUGGGAGGAAUGCAAAAUGGUGCAGCCACUUUGGAAGACAGUUGGGCAAUUUCUUACAAAAUUGAACAUACUCUUACCACACAAUCCAACCAUCGAGCUCCUUGGUAUUGACCCAAAGGGGUUGAAAACUUCUCCUCUCCACAGAAAAAUCUGCACAUAGAUGUUUCUAGCAGCUUUCUGCAUAAUUGCCACAAGUUGGAAGCAACCAAGAUGGCCUUCAGUAGGUGAUGGAAAAAGGCACUGUGGUCCAUCCAGACAAUGGAAUAUUAUUCAGUGCUGAAAAGAAAUGAGCUAUCAAGCCCUGAAAAGACAUGGAGGGACCUUAAAUGGAUAUUACCAAGUGAAAGAAGCCAGUCUGACAAGCCCUUCAUACUGUUUGAUUCCAACUAUAUAAUAUUCUGGAAAAGGCAAAACUACGGAGACAGCACAGAGCUCAGUGGUUGGCAGGGGUUGAGCGUGAGGGAGAGAUGAGCAGGCAGAACAGAGAGGCUGUUUAGGGCAGUGACAGUAGUCUGCAUGACAGUAUACUGAUGGAUAUAUAUCAUUAUACAUUUGUCCAAACCCAUAGAAUGCACCACGCCAAGAGUGACCCCUAACGUCAACUAUGGACUUUGGGUGAUUAUGUCAACAUAGGUCUAUCAGUUGUAACAAAUGUACCGCAAUGCUGAGGGAUGUUUAUAAUGGGGGCAGCUGUGCAUGUGUGGGGACAGGGGGUAGACGGGAAAUCUCUGGACCUUCUCCUCAAUUUUGCUGUAGAAUCUCAAUUAAAAAAAGUCAGGGCCCACCCAGUGGCGUAGUGGUUAAGUUCACGCAUUUUGCUUCAGCGGCCCUGGGUUCUCCAGUUCGGAUCCCGGGCAUGAGCCCAUGCGCUGCUUGUCAAGCCAUGCUGUGGCAGGCAUCCCAUAUGCAAAGUAGAGGAGGAUGGGCAUGGAUGUUAGCUCAGGGCCAGUCUUCCUCAGCAAAAAGAGGAGGAUUGGUGGCGGAUGUUAGCUCAGGGCUAAUCUUCCUCAAAAAAAAAAACCCUCAAAUGAUGAUUUGGUUAUUUUAUUCACUGGAGCUAAUCAAAGGGAUGCCUAUAAGGUUACUGAAAUUUGUGUUUUGGUUUCCUAGAUUUUUUUGUGAGAAAUAAGGAUUGAAGAAAGAAAAAAAGAGGGAAGAGGGAGGGAGGAAAGAACGAAGAAAGGAGGGAGGGACGGAGAGAGGAAUGGAAGGAGGGCGGGAGGGAGAGAAGGAGAUAGAUGAGCCUAUGUUAAGAAAACAAACUCGCCUCCUGAAAAUAGAGCUAACUCUUAUCUCGUCCUCGCCUAUUUAUCUCUAUAUAAAUCAGAGAAAGAAAAGGCCUUCCCGGCUUUUCCUUCCUCACCUGGGGUGCCUGCAGGCUCUCCCCUGGACAGGCAGGGGCCUGUCGCACCCAUUUAUGAAGACCUUCUUUUUCUUGAAACAGUACCUUGAAUAAAUACUCCUGGAAUUAGAAAUAUGUAAAAGCAUCUGAAAAGUAAACACACACACACACACGCACACAAUACAAAAGGAAAUGCGUUAUUCACAGUCAGACCUAGCGCAGUAAAUAUUUGAGGAAAGAAGGAAUUCUAGCCCCCAAUGCUAUCUUUGAAUAUAAUACAUUAUACUUUGCCGUAGGGUUGGCUGCAAACUAUAAUCCCAUUUAGUUUUGUCAUUGCACAGAUUAGAACUGCUAUUUCAUGUCACCUGUUUUAUAAGAUUCAGACUGCCUUUUGCAGAUCACUUGCAUCACAGCCAUCUGCUAAAAAGGAGCUCUCGGCCUACCCCGUGCUGGUUGUGUCAGCCUCUUUGGGUCGAGGGGCCCAAGAUAGACAUCGGGAAAAGCUUCCAUGUGGGCCCCCGGACCGCUGCUGGACCCUCAUCAGCACCAGGGAACAUGGUGAUGGAACGAACAAAUGAAUGAAUAAUGAAAGAAGAACCUGUCCGAUAACAGCUGUUGUUCGCGUAGAGUCAACGCUGGCUGUUUGAUAAGUGUGUGAAUGUGCCCGUCUUGCCCAGGACCCACAGCCCAACGGAACAUGAAGGCAAAACUGGCUGUUCGGGGCUUACCCAGUCAAGCUGCCUCUCUCCCAUACUCCUCCUCCCGGAUCCCCUCCCAUUUCUUUUAAUCUCUUCCAAUUUUAAAAAUAAGAAAUUAAAAUAUUGAAAGAUACAUCAUAGCCAAAUCAUUUCCAAAAGUGUCCUUGGCUGGUCGGGUGACCGUUUCAUUUAGACCCCUCGGCAAUUAACACCAAGGACAGAUGCCCCAACUGACAGAACCUUCCCGCAAACCUCAGUGCUUUCAAGACUUGAAUCCAGGUCCCCCACAGAAAAGGCUGAGACAAACAACAACAGAAAAAGAGAUUCUGGUUUUCCACCAAGCUCAAAGGGCCUUUGUCGGAGCAAGUCAGAGCUCUCCCGGUGGCCAGCUCGUUCUGUUUAAUCAUCAACUGUGCUUAUCAAAUCCUUGAUUUGGAAGUCCCCUGAAGAAAAAAAGUGCAAAAAGAAUCCUUUUGUGCUUUGGAGAUUGAUUUCAAAGCAGGCCUUGAGGUCACCUGCGGACACGCCUUAGGCGGAAAUUACCAGCAGGAAACAAAAUGUUCCCAUUUGAUUUCAUAAAGUUGGGCGGAACCCCUGGAUGGGGACUCACCAUUGGGAUCUGAGCAGGGCCGAAGCACUAGUCCACCCGUCCAUUUUCUUUGGGGGCAGAGGGGAUGGCAGUGAUGCAGGUGGGGGCCUGCUCUGACUCCCCUGGAAGUGCUCCCGCAUCCUGAUACCUGGGCAGAGGCUGGAGGAGACCUGUCAGGUCUACCCACUAGAAACCAAUGCUCACCUUGCUGUCUGAGACGCUGGAAAAGGGAGUCCCUUGAAUUGUCCGGGUUUUGCUUUCCUUGGCCAGGUCUUCCCCAUAAUUUAGAGAUUUGGGGUUUUAGGUGGCAUUUGACUCAAUCAAGGUGAUCAGCCGUCAGGGGAACCUGAUAAAGCUGAGGGUCAGUUCCCAGAUCCACGGUUCCAGUUCCAAUAUCCUCUCCUGGGGAGAGCAAGCGAGAAGACCUUCAGGAGCAGGAUGACAAGAAGCACAGCAAACAGUUGAUGUUAUUAUCAGUGAAGCCCACAGUGAGUCGGGUCGAUGUCCCGGGACCCUGAAGCCAGCCGUGGAUGGCGUCUGAUUGAAAAACCCAACAACCCAGCAAGGAAAGCAUAAAGCCAAGAACAAAUGAAGUCACUCAAAAAGGCCAGAGGAAGGUUCUGUCACAACACACAGUAAAACUUCUUCCUACCUUCUUUCUCCAUCUUUCUCUCUGUAUCCCACAUUUCAGUUCUUUGAGACUUUCUCUCUCUCUCUCUCUCUCUCUCUCUCUCUCUCUCUCCUCCGCAAACAAACGCAGCCACCCUCUCCCAGGACACUCUCCUUGUUUUCCCUGUGCCUUUUUUGUGCAACAGUGGUUCCCAAAGCUUUCUGUUGAAAACCCCACCAUUUUCUCCCUUUCCAAGACCCCGUCUCUUUUCUCGCACCUAAACCAAAAGAUCAAGAUCAAGCUGGCAUUACAGAAUGGGGGGCCCUUGGGCGUGGGUCGGGAAAGAGAGGCUGCGAUUAUUGGUGGAUUUAAUAUGUGGUGCCUGAAGCACGAUUGAGACAUUGUUGAUUCUCUACCGUGCGUUGGACACCAUAUUAAAUUACUGCAUUUAACAGAUGUCUAAAUUGGGGUUUUCUUCAGUGUAUUCUGACUCUAUUCCAGGGAAAUAUUCCUUGAUAAGAGGGUUUGAUAAUUAGCCACAUUUGGAAAGUGUGUCGUCCCCUAUCUGUCCCCUGGAGGUUCCCAAUGCACAUUAAAUUUCUGAUAAUUCUUGCGGUAAAUAUGCAUAUUUAUCAUCGGUGAACCUGGCAUUUCCCUAACUUAUUUGAUCACUGAACUAACUUGAUCAUAAGAAGGAGUUAAUGUCAGCAGCACACCUGGCCCACCCAGACCUAGAAAAUGGGAGUCGCCAAAGCACACCUGUUCCGUGUUGGUAGGUUCUGGAGAGCCUGGUGGGCAUCCACCCUGAUUCACUGGGGUAUUUAUGGUGGUGUACACAUGGGCUUGAUUAGUCUUGACAGAGAGGUUUGUCCCCAAGACAUAGGGGAUGAUGAGCCAAUAAAUAAGAGAUGAGCCAAUAAAACAAUCUAGUGAUGACUUUAAAACAAGAGAGGAGCUGGUGAUGAACCCAGCAGUCCUGGUGGGAGAAAGCGCCCUGUGAAUGAGAUGGGGAAGGCCAAGAGGCGUGGAUGCCUCAGAGACCAGGAAGUCAGAUCCUAGCCCAGCAGCUCACGCUGGCCCACACAGUGGCAGAAAUGAUGUAAUUCUGCAGCAAGCCACGGAAGCCCUAAAUUCAAGCUUGCUCUAGACGUCGGCUGAUAACUAGAAACAGAAAAAUCAGUAAAUCAACUUGGUGCUACUGGAUGGCAUUUAUUUUCGAAAAUGGUUAUGGUUCUUCAAAAACCCCCAGAUCGCUUUGUUUCCUCUCUCACACUCCGCUUCUCUACCAACCGCCCCCACAGCAUCAUGGUCUCUUAACCGAAUUGAGACCUAGCAUGAUCCAUGAGCCCCGGGAAAGGAUUGGCAAGCCUGUCCCGCCUGAGCAGGGGCGUCCCCCCAGCCCAGAGCCAGCCCCCGACUUCUGGCAUCAGGGCUGCUGUUUUGAAGGGCUGCUUUGAGAUCUGUGGCUCCAGGCAUUUUGUUAUUUUGCUGUUUACUUUGGAACUUCUUAAAACAAACCUCAAAGAAGAGAGAACUCCUGUCUGAAGCUGAUUCCUUUUAGAAUCCAAGAGAUGACUCACGGAGGCUGUUUUGGCAUUUAUGUACCCUGUUGAGUUAAUAUGAUUAGACUCAUAAAUUCUAUUUUUGAAACGUAGACUUUGUACCCUGAAUAUUCUUCCAGAACAACAAAAAAAAGCGGGGGGAAAUGACAUCCUUGUUUACAUAUUUGGUAUUAUCUAAAUAUGUGCUAUUUGCCCUCUUACUUUUGUCUUUCAUCGUCUGUUUUUUUCCGUUGGAUUAAAAAGACGGGGCAAAUUCUUCAGUAAACUUGAGGAAUGCUCUUUAGAAUAAGUCUUGUCCAUGUACAAGCUAAUAAUAUGAAAAGUUCUGUUUUCACCAAAUGUCCAUUGACAGAUGAAUGGAUAAGCAAAAUGCAUAGACACUCAAUGCAAUAUUCUUUAGCCUUAAAAAGGAGUGAAAUUCUGACAUUUUGCUACAUGGAUGAAUCUUGAAGACAUUAUUUUAAGUGAAAUAAGCCAGUCACAAAAGCACAAAUACAGCAUGACUCCACUUUAUGAGGUCCCUAUAGAGCGGUCAGAUGCAUAGAGACAGAAAGUGGAAUGGUGGUUCCUAGGGGCUGAAGGCAGGGGAGAAUGGGGAGUCAUUUAAUGGGUACCAAGUCUGAAUUUGGGAAGAUGAAAAUUUUUUGGAGAUGGAUGUGGUCUGAUUGUACAACAGUAUAAUGUACUUAAUGCCAUUGAACUCUACACUUGAAAAUGAUUAAAAUGGUAAAUUUUAUGUUAUGUGUGUUUUAACACACACACACACCAAGUUCCGUUUUCUCUGGGAACACACAUGGAGCAAUACCCAGAGCCUGAGGCUUCCCCCUGAUUGUUUUUGAUCUUACCAACCCACUACUCCAUAAGUAACCAAGUUACUUGUUCUUCAAAGUGAAUGCAUGGCCAGAGCUAAGUCCCCCUUCAUCGCAGAAGUGGCACCUUCCAACCGAGGGAGGUGGUUUUCUCACACUACGCGAUGGAUGGUCUGGGCAGGGGCCGGGUGCAGCCUUCCUUCCUGGGAAAAACGUCUCAACUGUAGAAAUUUGAUGGCUCCUGAGAUUUGUUUCAAGUCACUGUAGUUGGUACAUAAGUUAAGGCGCCUGCCCCUUUGUUCUUGUGUAAUAAAUGGUCGACUCCGGAAUGUUCAAAGACACAGGGCCCUCCACUUGGCCAUAAAACGCACCCUAAUCUAAAGACCGCUCUGUUUCAUUUUUAACUGUGCGGCAAAUCCAAGUUUUAAGUGUUUUGUUUGUUAGAUAAUUUUCGAUAACUCCUAUAAAGCAAGGUUGCUCAUAAUAAAAGACUUCAUGUGUGCCCAUUAAGAACAAUGAAUUGCACUAACCACAAACCUCAAAAGAAGUAUUCUGUUGUUUGAGGUUUAAAUGAAAAAAGAAAGAUCUUUUUUCUUGCCACUAGAAUAAAGGUCUUUUGAGAACUUCAUUUUUGAAAAUCUCGGGCAUGACCACAGAAGUAAUAAAUGCCCAGAUCAUAUGUAUUUUCAUGCUUUU